AGAGGGAGGAGUUAAGGAGACAGACAGAGAGAGAGAGAGAUCUGAGGAGAAGAGGGAGAACCAAAAUGGAGGCUGACGUGGUGUUAUCAAAGUGGAGUGACCAGGGCUGACAGGUAUUCUGACAUCUGCUCCCUGAGAGGUGACGUGGGAAGUCCUGCACUGUGAGUCCAUUGAGUAGGACACACCCAGGCCUCUUCUUUUCUCCAGGAUAUGUGCAAGAUGAGAGCCAGCCAUCGUCUCCUGAUAGUGGAGAUUUGAUCUGAAGCAUUCAAAUAGGAAAUGAAUGCUCAGAGGAAGCUUCAAAUUUCUUUCUACUUGAAGAAGCUGAAUUGCAGAAGCUAUCUCUGUCCUGUUAAUCACCGGGUCCACAGUGAAACCAGCCAACUUCAGAGAAGACUCUUGUGCUGCGUGACCCCUGACUGUAACCAAGUGUCCUUCUCUCUGAGACGUUCCCUCGGAGCUUGUUCUCACAGCCCUCACCUCCAGUGACCUCCACGAACUUUUCCACACGAGGGGUUCUCUGCUUCCCUCCAUCUGAGCUGCGCAAUUCCACCAGGCCUUUUGCUCCUCUUCAGUCAGGUGCUUUGGAGGUAAUGAAGUCUUUCGGGGGAAAAAUAAACAAAGGAAAUGCACCCGGUUGAUGUCAAUGGACUUGUUUAACUAUUUAAGGCCACUGUCUCCAAGUGUAAGUGUGCUGCGGUGUGUUUUGUAAAGUAGCGCUUAUAAUCCACUGAGCUUUCCAAACAGCCCUCUUGCCUAUUAAGCCUGCAUUGAGAAGUGGGUUUAAUUUGCCAGAGUAGUUUUUUGUGAUAAUUACAGGACUUGCAGAUUAGCUUGAGUGACUUGGCAAGGUUCUGUAGCUAAUAAAAAAUCACACAGGAAAAAAAUUGUAACAUUCAAUUGCUUCAAGGUUCUUCACGAGAGAAACAUUAAACAAACCUGAUAGGCCAGUUUCCAGUCUGUGAAGGGACUUGGAGGCAAGCCGGGAGAGAGGGAGGAGAAAGAGAUCGCCAUGAUGGGGAAGAAGGAAGAGGAGACCUAAAGGCCAGCUGACAUGUGAGAAUCAGGGAAAGUGGCCACACGGGCCACUUCCACAGCUGUGUUUGAGGACCAACGGUACUGUUGCUCUAGCUACAGGAAUAAUCCUGGGCAGCACUUGUUGACCUUGGUCACUGUCAAGGGAAGAUCGGCUGUUCCCACUGAGGGCAUCUUGAUGGAUUAAGGUGAUCAGCUGAUCAAUGUGAGGGGACAGAUGGGAGCUAGGAACUGUCUCGGUACUGAGUCAUUUUUCAUCUAAUGUGCAAGAAACCCAAAGAGCACAUCAAACAGCGAACUACGCCUAAGCUAUCCAUGUUUCUCCUGCUUCUUCUGAGAGGGUGAUUUACACGUAGCUCAACACUCGAGUGUUGCAGUAUCGAGUGACUGCAACCAAACAAUGGAACAUGCAUCGUGCCUGUUGACAGAGCCUGCAGUUGGCUUGGAACCGGGACCAUGCUGCAUUCGACAUCGUUCCUGGUGGCUGACUUGUUCCCAUAGAAUUAAAUGCUAGGCAUCCAGAAGCUGACUGUGCAUCUGAUGGGCUCACUAACAUUCAGGAACAGGUUGGCCUCAGACUUCAUCAAUGGAAAGUGUAGGCAUAGGACAAAAAAAAGAGCACGUUUGAAAGACUACAUUUUCAUGAAAUUGGAAAUGCUACAUGCAAGCUGCAGAUGCUGAUUGCAGAGUCAGAAGACAUGGCCGUCAGUGUUAGGACUCUGCCUUAUUCUGCUAUUUCUCCUUGACGACCUACAGUUUGCAUUGUGGGUGGCAUUCAUUAACGAGGGCAGUAAAAACAUGGAGAAAACAUUGCAAGCUCUCCUUCGUGUUUCGCUCACUGGCCAAGUAGCUAACCAACUAGGUGUUCAGGCUCCCAUGUGUCUCAAUAUGAUGUGGCUCCUUCCAGUAGCAACCAUCCUGAGCAGAGACCUUUGUUCUAAUUUAAAAAUUAGACAUGAUAUAGAGCUUACCACACAUUUUUCCCCCUGAAGAUUAAAGAUCUUCAUGAAGGUACUGGCUUAAAAGACAUCAACCCCAAGCCUUUCGAAGGAUAUGCACUUGAGAUUGCCAUACUCGAUGGUGCGUCCAAUUAACUUAGAAAUACCCUUGACAUUUCUCAUCCGUGAAGAGAAGCUUUAGGUGACAGUUUUCAUGGUGUGGGUACUCUCGGUGCCUAAUUUGCUUUUUUUUCUUGUUUUCAAGCCUGAAAGGGAAAUAGCCUUGGCUUUCAGCUCUGGAGCGCGAUGCCCUCCUUACGAGUAUUCAGCUACUGUCUGAACCAUUGUACUUGCCUUCCCCUCCAUACCCCUUUUUCCCCAAAGUCCCGUUGAUAGCUCAUU
rnacentral:lncRNA from 1 species